rnacentral:rRNA from 1 species
UCGGGUGUGAAAGCUUGGGGCUUAACUCCAGGUCUGCAUUCGAUACGGGCUGGCUAGAGGUAGGUAGGGGAGAACGGAAUUCCUGGUGUAGCGGUGAAAUGCGCAGAUAUCAGGAGGAACACCGGUGGCGAAGGCGGUUCUCUGGGCCUUACCUGACGCUGAGGAGCGAAAGCGUGGGGAGCGAACAGGAUUAGAUACCCUGGUAGUCCACGCUGUAAACGUUGGGCGCUAGGUGUGGGGACCUUCCACGGUUUCCGCGCCGUAGCUAACGCAUUAAGCGCCCCGCCUGGGGAGUACGGCCGCAAGGCUAAAACUCAAAGGAAUUGACGGGGGCCCGCACAAGCGGCGGAGCAUGUUGCUUAAUUCGACGCAACGCGAAGAACCUUACCAAGGCUUGACAUCGCCCGGAAAGCUUCAGAGAUGGAGCCCUCUUCGGACUGGGUGACAGGUGGUGCAUGGCUGUCGUCAGCUCGUGUCGUGAGAUGUUGGGUUAAGUCCCGCAACGAGCGCAACCCUUGUUCAAUGUUGCCAGCACGCUCCCUUGUGGGGUGGUGGGGACUCAUUGGAGACUGCCGGGGUCAACUCGGAGGAAGGUGGGGAUGACGUCAAGUCAUCAUGCCCCUUAUGUCUUGGGCUGCAAACAUGCUACAAUGGCCGGUACAGAGGGUUGCGAUACCGUAAGGUGGAGCGAAUCCCUAAAAGCCGGUCUCAGUUCGGAUUGGGGUCUGCAACUCGACCCCAUGAAGUCGGAGUCGGUAGUAAUCGCAGAUCAGCAACGCUGCGGUGAAUACGUUCCCGGGCCUUGUACACACCGCCCGUCACGUCACGAAAGUCGGCAACACCCGAAGCCCGUGGCCCAACCAGCUUGUCUGGGGGGAGCGGUCGAAGGUGGGGCUGGCGAUUGGACGAAGUCGAACAAGA